AGAGUUUGAUCAUGGCUCAGAUUGAACGCUGGCGGAAUGCUUUACACAUGCAAGUCGAGCGGCAGCGCGGGGCAACCUGGCGGCGAGCGGCGAACGGGUGAGUAAUACAUCGGAACAUAUCCAUUUGUGGGGGAUAGCCCGGCGAAAGCCGGAUUAAUACCGCAUGAGCUCGGGAGAGGAAAGCCGGGGACCGCAAGGCCUGGCGCGAAUGGGUUGGCCGAUGUCCGAUUAGCUUGUUGGUGAGGUAAAGGCUUACCAAGGCGAUGAUCGGUAGCUGGUCUGAGAGGAUGAUCAGCCACACUGGGACUGAGACACGGCCCAGACUCCUACGGGAGGCAGCAGUGGGGAAUUUUGGACAAUGGGGGCAACCCUGAUCCAGCGACGCCGCGUGGGUGAAGAAGGCCUGCGGGUUGUAAAGCCCUUUCGGUAGGGACGAAAGCUCUCGACCUAACACGUCGGGAGGUUGACUUAACCUACAAAAGAAGCACCGGCUAACUCUGUGCCAGCAGCCGCGGUAAUACAGAGGGUGCGAGCGUUAAUCGGAAUUACUGGGCGUAAAGCGCACGUAGGCGGCUUGGCAUGUCGGGUGUGAAAUCCCCGGGCUCAACCUGGGAACUGCAUCCGAAACUGCCUUGCUAGAGUAUGGGAGAGGGAAGCGGAAUUUCUGGUGUAGCAGUGAAAUGCGUAGAUAUCAGAAGGAACAUCAGUGGCGAAGGC
rnacentral:rRNA from 1 species